ensembl:lncRNA
UUUCCAGAGUCCAGAGAGGAGAUAUUGUGAUCUGUCUGAGCUUUUCUUAAUGCAAAAAGAAACUGAAAGCUUCUGUGGAGCUCCAGAAGGGCAGGGUGGCUUCCAAGUAAAGGGUUAAAACUACUUUUCCCAACUCAUACAAUUUCCAAUGCAGUCCGUGUGUUUCUGUGGGAGGGGGCUGCAGGGAGGGAAGCCUUGGUAGCAAUUGGCUGCUCUCUAUCAGCUGCAGCUGAGCUCGAGCUGCUGCUGGAGCGGUAUCGAUCUGAAGGGUAAAUGUGUAGGGAACCACAGCGAGGGAUUCGCUCAUUUCUGAGAAGGAACCCAGCCUCUGCCGGUAACAACGUGCAUUCUACUUGCCUCGCCUGCCCGUGGGAUCCUUUGUGAAUGAGCGGGGACCCGAGGACGGGCGGUUUGUUGCCACAGCGAUCCGGAGGACUGUCGCGGUGCGGGUGCUGCUGCGGCUCUGUGCAGCAGGGUUUGGGUAGAAGCUGCUUCGAGGAUUGUUCCCAAGAGAGACUGCUGCUGAAAUGAGUAAAUUCCAAAACUUUUCUGGGACCACCUCUAAGAACAUGUAUUCAGAUCUGUGAGUAUAUUGAGUCAAAAGUAAUGCUUUGCUUUGACUGUGGUCAAAGCAUGGAAGAUACAAUGGGAAAAAAAUGUCUAAUUCUCUAGCUUUAUUAUGUUUAUUAAGUGUGAUGGGGAGGUUCAGGUUAUAGGUUAUGAAAAACGUCCUCUCAAGUUUUCAGGAAAAGGGUAGAUAUGAUACUGAGAAACGUGGUUUAGUGACUAUGAGUGGUGAGUUGAUGGUUGGACUAGAUGGUCUUAGUGGUCUUUUUCAACCUUAAUGAUUCCAUAAUUAUAAGUUUUACUAUUAUCACAACUACUAGAACAAGAUUUAGUGGAUCUGUUCUAGCACGCCUAUCUUAAAAUAGGGAAAACAAAAUACUCAGAAUACAAAAUACUCAGAAUACACAAAGUUAUGGAUGCAAACACCUGGGAUUUUUCUAUUUUUUCUUUUCUCUCUCUCUUUUUUUUUUUUUUUUUUUUUUUUUUUUGUUCUGCCUGGAGCUUUGAAAAGGAGAAUGGUGGCUAUGCAGAGUUUGGCUUGCAAAAGCUGUGUAAUGAGAUUACUGCAGCAUCACAGCAUGAUUCCGUUGUGCUGCUAUGUCUACGUCCCACUUUUCCAAUAAAUCACAAUAACCAGCUGACAAUGCAAAUAUCACAGCAUGCUGUCUGGGAAUUAUUUUGAUUAGUUUGUAACUUGUAGAGGCUUCUCAGACUUUCAAGCAAUGAGUCCUUCUGUAGCUGUUACUUCUCCCAGACACUGUCACAAGAGAGACUGAGAUUGCAG